ACUCAAUAGAUACCCCGGUAGUCCACGCCCUAAACGAUGGAUACUAGGCGUGGGAGGUAUCGACCCCUCCCGUGCCGCAGCCAAACGCACUAAGUAUCCCGCCUGGGGAGUACGGCCGCAAGGUUGAAACUCAAAUGAAUUGACGGGGACCCGCACAAGCGGUGGAGCAUGUGGAUUAAUUCGAUACUAACCGAAGAACCUUACCCAGACUUGACAUCGAAGGAAAGGCCCUGAAAGGGGUCCCCCUCCCACAAGGAGGCCUGAAGACACUUGUUGCAUGGCUGUCGUCAGCUCGUGCCGUGAGGUGUACGGUUAAGUCCGCCAACGAGCGCAACCCACGUCCUGUGUUACCAGCGAGAGAGUCGGGGCACUCACAGGAGACCGCCGGUGUAAGCCGGAGGAAGGUGUGGAUGACGUCAAGUCAGCAUGGCAGUUACGUCUGGGGCUUCACACAUGCUACAAUGGGCGCAACAAAGGGCCGCGAUACCGCGAGGUGGAGCCAAUCCCAAAAAUACGCCCCAGUUCAGAUUGCAGUCUGC
rnacentral:rRNA from 1 species